CGGCGACGCCGAGCGGACCCGAAAGCGUCUCAGUUCGGAUCGGAGUCUGCAACCCGACUCCGUGAAGCUGGAUUCGCUAGUAAUCGCGCAUCAGCCAUGGCGCGGUGAAUACGUUCCCGGGCCUUGUACACACCGCCCGUCAAGCCAUGGGAGCCGGGGGUGCUUGAAGUGCGUCGCCGCGAGGCGCGCCCUAGAGCAAAACCGGUGACUGGGGCUAAGUCGUAACAAGGUAAC
rnacentral:rRNA from 1 species